rnacentral:lncRNA from 1 species
UGAACCCUGGCCUCCCGGGGCCUAGUAUUUUCCUUCAUCCAUCAAGGGGGUAAAGGGUUAAAGACCAGCCUUUCAAUUCCACCUCCAAUGUCAGAGUCUGUCUCAGCAGCCCCAUCUCCCCACCUGCAGUUUACUUCAGAAAAGCCCUCGCUGAAAUGACUAGUUGUGCACAUGGAGUCUUAUCUAGUUAAGCCCCAGGUUUCUGCAUUACUUCUAGUCUAAACCGGUGGUGACCUGCUGCUUCUUUUCUUUAGGUGCUCAGGAGGUUAAACAACCCCCUGCAAAAGAAUGCAAGACCCGUUGGUUUGACCGCGACAAUCCUUCCGGGACUGGGGACUACGAACUCCUGUCCCAGUUCUGGGAUGAAAAUCCCCACAUCAUCUGCCCCCAGCCGCUUGCCAUUGAGGUCCAAACAGUGGAUGGGAUUCCGGCGUCUGAGACUGGGCAGAAGUUUUCUGUGUGAGAUUCCAUGUCCCCUAUUCUACGGGUUCCUUAGCUGGGUUCUUAUCUUUGAAUUUCUGCCUCUUGCGGCUGCCUUUCCUUGGCCCAUCCCUGACACCCUGUUCUUCCCUGUGUUCCCAACAGGAAUGAUGCCACCAGUGGCUUUGCUUGUAUCAAUGCCCAGCAAGAAAAGGGCAAGGCAUGCCGUGACUAUCAAGUGCGCUUCACUUGCCCCGAAGCCUACUGUCCUACUGCCUCCAGCCCUUCAGCAACAUUGA